rnacentral:rRNA from 1 species
GAUAGUACCUUACUACUUGGAUAACCGUGGUAAUUCUAGAGCUAAUACAUGCUUAAAACCCCAACUUCGGGAGGGGUGUAUUUAUUAGAUAAAAAACCAACGCCCUUCGGGGCUUCUUGGUGAUUCAUGAUAACUUUACGGAUCGCAUGGCCUUGCGCCGGCGACGGUUCAUUCAAAUUUCUGCCCUAUCAACUUUCGAUGGUAAGGUAUUGGCUUACCAUGGUUUCAACGGGUAACGGGGAAUUAGGGUUCGAUUCCGGAGAGGGAGCCUGAGAAACGGCUACCACAUCCAAGGAAGGCAGCAGGCGCGCAAAUUACCCAAUCCCGACACGGGGAGGUAGUGACAAUAAAUACUGAUACAGGGCUCUUUUGGGUCUUGUAAUUGGAAUGAGUACAAUUUAAACCUCUUAACGAGGAACAAUUGGAGGGCAAGUCUGGUGCCAGCAGCCGCGGUAAUUCCAGCUCCAAUAGCGUAUAUUAAAGUUGUUGCAGUUAAAAAGCUCGUAGUUGAAACUUGGGUCUGGCUGGCAGGUCCGCCUCACCGCGUGUACUUGUCCGGCCGGGCCUUCCUUCUGGAGAACCUCAUGCCCUUCACUGGGCGUGUUGGGGACCAGGACUUUUACUUUGAAAAAAUUAGAGUGUUCAAAGCAGGCCUUUGCUCGAAUACGUUAGCAUGGAAUAAUAGAAUAGGACGUGCGGUCCUAUUUUGUUGGUUUCUAGGACCGCCGUAAUGAUUAAUAGGGACAGUCGGGGGCAUCAGUAUUCAAUUGUCAGAGGUGAAAUUCUUGGAUUUAUUGAAGACUAACUACUGCGAAAGCAUUUGCCAAGGAUGUUUUCAUUAAUCAGUGAACGAAAGUUAGGGGAUCGAAGACGAUCAGAUACCGUCGUAGUCUUAACCGUAAACUAUGCCGACUAGGGAUCGGGCGAUGUUCUUUUUCUGACUCGCUC